CGUGCAGGCGGUUCGGUAAGUUGGAUGUGAAAUCUCCUGGCUCAACUGGGAGAGGUCGUUCAAUACUGUCGGACUUGAGGACGGUAGAGGGAGGUGGAAUUCCCGGUGCAGUGGUGAAAUGCGUAGAUAUCGGGAGGAACACCAGUGGCGAAGGCGGCCUCCUGGACCGUACCUGACGCUCAGACGCGAAAGCUAGGGGAGCGAAC
rnacentral:rRNA from 1 species